rnacentral:lncRNA from 1 species
CGUCAUCAUCCUGCGACUACCAACUCUCUACUAGUCAGUGAACGGAGAACCGAGAGCACUAUCGCUUGAGGUAGCGGAGAGCAUCAAGCGGAUAAACUGUCUAAUUUUCAGCUAAUUCCCCUUCAGUGCUGGUCGGACACGGACCAUACACCAUCCCCGAGUGGAUUUUUUGUCUGUGGGUGACCCGAACUGUUGGACGAAUUGAAAAAUAUUAUAAUUUGGCGUCAUAUCUAAGCAGAAACUAAACUAUUGAGAGUGGUAUCCGAGGUUAGCCACUUGGCUAACUGGGAAGGUUGCCUAGGUAGUUACUGCUGAGAAAAUACGAAGCGGAGGGAGACCUCAGCGGCAAAAAGGGCCAUCGACGUGAGCUGUAUCCUGAAGAGGAGCUCUCCGUUUUUCUGGACACAUCAAGAGGAGCCGGAGUCCAUUUUGCUGUGUUAUACUCUGAUAAUUUCCGAGGCUCCACUGACAGCCCUAACAGAGAGGGGCCAGGCCGGGAGAGGAGAGCAACCCCCAGUGUGGCCUGACCGAGAGAAUCAAUGCCAAGCCCUUCUCCUCCUCAGACAGCCUAGUGAAGGUCCAGGAGG